GCUUAAUUAAAGCAUCUUGCUUACACCAAGAAAAUGUAUGUGAAAACCAAACCGUCUUGAGCUAAAAAUUUAGCCUUACUAUACAAUUAUAAUUAUCCUAUUUUACUUACACAAAAUAAAACAUUCUUUAAACUUAGUAAAGGAGAUAAAAAAGUUUUUUAGAGCCAUAAAAUAAGUACCGCAAGGGAAAAAUGAAAUAAAAAUGAAAUAAAAUUCAAGCAUAAAAUAGUAGAGAUUCCCCCUCGUACCUUUUGCAUCAUGAUUCAACUAGUUUAAUUACGCAAAAAGAAUUUAAGUUUGACUCCCCGAAACUAAGUGAGCUACUUCAGGGCAGCUAAACGAGCCAACCCGUCUCUGUUGCAAAAGAGUGGGACGACCCUUAAGUAGAGGUGAUAAGCCUAACGAACUUAGUGAUAGCUGGUUAUUCAGGAAAAGAAUUUAAGUUCGACUUAAAAUUACAUAAAUAAAAUAAAAUAAAAUUUUAAUUUUAAAGCAAUUCAAAUAAGGUACAGCCUAUUUGAAAUAGAACACAAUCUAAACUACAGGGUAAAUAUAAAAAUCAAUGUAAUAAAGUAGGCCUAAGAGCAGCCAACUUUAAAAUAGCGUCAAAGCUUAUUUUCAUAAUUUUUUAAUACCAUUAUUUAUAAUGAACCCUUUACUUCCACUGAAUAUUUCUAUAAAGUUAUAGAAUUUUUUAUGUUGAAACUAGUAACAAGAAGCUAAACUUCUCCUCAAUGUAAGUAUAAGUCGACUAGGAUAAACCAUCGACAAUUAACGCUAAAAAUUAAAUGUAAUAACACCUCAAGAAAAAUUUACACUACCCCACGUUAACCUUACACCAGAACAUUUAAGGAAAGAUUUAAAAAAAAGGAAGGAACUCGGCAAACAUUAACCCCGCCUGUUUACCAAAAACAUCGCCUUCUGAUAAAUCAUAGAAGGUCCAGCCUGCCCAGUGAAUUAAUUUAACGGCCGCGGUAUCCUAACCGUGCGAAGGUAGCGUAAUCACUUGUUCUUUAAAUGAGGACUAGUAUGAAUGGCACCACGAAGGUUAUACUGUCUCCUUUUUUUAAUCAGUUAAACUAAUCUUCACGUGAAGAAGCGUGAAUAAGUAUAUAAGACGAGAAGACCCUAUGGAGCUUAAAAUUACGCAACAAUUGCUAUCAAUCUUAAAUUUUAUGAAUAAUUUUUUACUAAACACCAUGAUUGCUAAUUUUUGGUUGGGGUGACCGCGGAGUAAAAAUUAACCUCCACAAUGAAAGAAAUCAAUAUUCUAAACUAAGAGCUACAACUCUAAGUAUUAAUAUCUUAACAUUCCUUGAUCCAAUCAUUUGAUCAACGAACAAAGUUACCCUAGGGAUAACAGCGCAAUCUACUUUGAGAGCUCCUAUCGACAAGUAGGUUUACGACCUCGAUGUUGGAUCAGGGUAUCCUAGUGGUGCA
rnacentral:misc_RNA from 1 species